AAGAGACAGCAGUAGCCACGGGAAUACAGAGGGUGCGAGCGUUAAUCGGAUUUACUGGGCGUAAAGCGUGCGUAGGCGGCUUCUUAAGUCGGAUGUGAAAUCCCUGAGCUUAACUUAGGAAUUGCAUUCGAUACUGGGAAGCUAGAGUAUGGGAGAGGAUGGUAGAAUUCCAGGUGUAGCGGUGAAAUGCGUAGAGAUCUGGAGGAAUACCGAUGGCGAAGGCAGCCAUCUGGCCUAAUACUGACGCUGAGGUACGAAAGCAUGGGGAGCAAACAGGAUUAGAUACCCCCGUAGUCCCUGUCUCUUAUAC
rnacentral:rRNA from 1 species